ensembl:lncRNA
GGCACUUUUAUUUUGACACCACCAAUCAGAUUCUGUAUCUCUGUGAGGCAAAGCUUGAGAGUGUUGGACAGUUUAUUGCCACUCUCCUACAGUCUAUGGCCUUUAUUGCUUCAGGUUUAUCAUGUCAAAUCAACUUCCUGUAUUAGGUGCCAAGCCUGAAAGCUUCAUGCAAGCCAUCCAUCAUGCCAUCUAUGCUUUGAGCCUUCAGUUGUUUAUCUCCUCUUUCACAUAUGAAGCAAACAAGGCAAAGAGGGACACCUCACUGAAUUCAGACCAGCCUCCUGGGAAGUUAGAGGGGGACUUUCUCAAUGUCU